CUAUGCGCCUUGCCAGCCCGCUCAGAAACUUAAAUGAAUUGACGGGGCCCGCACAAGCGGUGGAGUAUGUGGUUUAAUUCGAUGAUACGCGAGGAACCUUACCUGGGCUCAAAUGUAUGUUGACGUAUUCUGAAAGGGAUACUUCUUCGGACAAUAUACAAGGUGCUGCAUGGUUGUCGUCAGCUCGUGCCGUGAGAUGUUGGGUUAAGUCCCGUAACGAGCGCAACCCUUGUCCUUAGUUACCAGCACGUUAUGGUGGGCACUCUAAGGAGACUGCCGGUGACAAACCGGAGGAAGGUGGGGAUGACGUCAAGUCAUCAUGGCCCUUACGGCCUGGGCUACACACGUGCUACAAUGGUCGGUACAAAGGGUUGCCAAGCCGCGAGGUGGAGCUAAUCCCAUAAAACCGAUCGUAGUCCGGAUCGCAGUCUGCAACUCGACUGCGUGAAGUUGGAAUCGCUAGUAAUCCCGGAUCAGCAUGCCGGGGUGAAUACGUUCCCGGGCCUU
rnacentral:rRNA from 1 species